CCUACGGGUGGCAGCAGUGGGGAAUAUUGGACAAUGGGCGAAAGCCUGAUCCAGCCAUGCCGCGUGUGUGAAGAAGGCCUUCGGGUUGUAAAGCACUUUCAGUGGGGAAGAAAGCCUUGGGGCUAAUACCCUCGAGGAAGGACAUCACCCACAGAAGAAGCACCGGCUAACUCCGUGCCAGCAGCCGCGGUAAUACGGAGGGUGCGAGCGUUAAUCGGAAUUACUGGGCGUAAAGCGCGCGUAGGCGGUCUGUUAAGCCGGUUGUGAAAGCCCCGGGCUCAACCUGGGAACGGCAUCCGGAACUGUCAGGCUAGAGUGCAGGAGAGGAAGGUAGAAUUCCCGGUGUAGCGGUGAAAUGCGUAGAGAUCGGGAGGAAUACCAGUGGCGAAGGCGGCCUUCUGGACUGACACUGACGCUGAGGUGCGAAAGCGUGGGUAGCAAACAGGAUUAGAUACCCUUGUAGUC
rnacentral:rRNA from 1 species